rnacentral:rRNA from 1 species
GCAGAACGCGAAGAACCUUACCUAGACUUGACAUCUCCUGAAUUACCCUUAACCGGGGAAGCCCUUCGGGGCAGGAAGACAGGUGGUGCAUGGUUGUCGUCAGCUCGCGUCGUGAGAUGUUGGGUUAAGUCCCGCAACGAGCGCAACCCUUAUCAUUAGUUGCUACCAUUAAGUUGAGCACUCUAGUGAGACUGCCACGGUUAACGUGGAGGAAGGUGGGGAUGACGUCAAAUCAUCAUGCCCCUUAUGUCUAGGGCUACACACGUGCUACAAUGGUGAAUACAAAGAGAUGCAAUACCGCGAGGUGGAGCCAAACUCAAAAAUUCAUCCCAGUUCGGAUUGUAGGCUGAAACUCGCCUACAUGAAGCCGGAGUUGCUAGUAAUCGCGAAUCAGCAUGUCGCGGUGAAUACGUUCCCGGGUCUUGUACACACCG